GACAGAGGCCCCAAGCGUUAGGCGGAAUCACUGGGCUUAAAGCGUGUGUAGGCGGACGCCUAAGUGUCUUGUGAAACCGUCCCCGCUCCACCGGAGAACUGCUGGGCAUACUGGGCGUCUUGGGCCAACUAGGGGCAGCCGGAACAAGCGGUGGAGCGGUGAAAUGCGUAGAUAUCGCUUGGAACGCCGAAGGUGAAAACAGGCUGCUGGGGUUGCGCCGACGCUGAGACACGAAAGCCAGGGGAGCAAAGCGGG
rnacentral:rRNA from 1 species